rnacentral:rRNA from 1 species
AGGACGAACGCUGGCGGCGUGCUUAACACAUGCAAGUCGAGCGGUAAGGCCUUCGGGGUACACGAGCGGCGAACGGGUGAGUAACACGUGGGUGAUCUGCCCUGCACUCUGGGAUAAGCCUGGGAAACUGGGUCUAAUACUGGAUAUGACCUGUCCUCGCAUGGGGGGUGGGUGGAAAGAUUUAUCGGUGCAGGAUGGGCCCGCGGCCUAUCAGCUUGUUGGUGGGGUAAUGGCCCACCAAGGCGACGACGGGUAGCCGACCUGAGAGGGUGACCGGCCACGACUGGGACUGAGACACGGCCCAGACUCCUACGGGAGGCAGCAGUGGGAAUAUUGCACAAUGGGCGAAAGCCUGAUGCAGCGACGCCGCGUGAGGAUGAAGGCCUUCGGGUUGUAACCUCUUCUAGCGAGGACGAAGCGAGAGUGACGGUACCUGACAGAAGAAGCACCGGCUAACUACGUGACCAGACAGACCGC